rnacentral:lncRNA from 10 species
CGGCUGCGGAGGCUGGCGCGGGCUGCUGCACCUUUAACGCUUUCUGGCGCUGACAGGCGGCGGCCCAGCUAAAGUUCACAGCGCCCGGGGAGGGCCCGCCUCCGCCUCCCCUCCCGCCCCCGCCUCCCCUCCCCCAGGCCGGCCCCGGCCCCCGGCCCCGGACAGGCCCGCCGCGCGGCCGCUUGAGCUGCGAGCUGAGGAGGCCCGUUGGCUGUUCCCGCAAAGAGUGGGGGGCGCAUUUUCUCUCCUGCCAGCCCGCUCCAUCCUGGUCGUUUAUUCCCGGCCUUCCCUCACCCCCCACCCCCACAGCCUGCUGGGAAACCAGACGACCCAGCGGCCACGGGACGAGUCACCCCAACUCAACCCCAGCAGGACGCUGGAGGGGCCUCCCUUGCCCACCUCUCUUCGCUAGCACUGGCCUCCCGCACCUGGGUCUGCAGUCCCUCCGCCAUCUCACAAGUGUGCAGCCGCUAGGCCUGGGGGAUCCGAAUGACUGGGGCUGGAUAGGAAUGCCUUCGUGUUUCCCAAGACCCCCGGGCCUGCUCCACAAAGUUUGAAGGGUGGGUACACCCCGACCCAGGAGGAGUUGAGGCGCCUUGAAUUUUCCUUCGCGAGUUUGGAGACCAGCCGAUUUUUCAUGAAGCAAGCAAGGGCCGCGGUCCCGGAUCCUGCAACAUAUACCUCAUUUUCUCCAGGCCUCUCCACUUGCCCGAGCUCUCAGCCACCAGGAGACAGACGGAAGGGGCUUCUGGGCUGUGUUGGGAGCGGGCAUUGUCCCCUACCCACUCCUGCACAGUUUCCCAAAGUCCAGCGACCUCCGACCCUCCUUGGGGAAAAAAAUACCAGUACCCAGACACCUCUGCACCCUGUUAUAUGACUGGGCUUGCUUCAGGAAUAUCUUACAAAGAAGAAGAAGGAGGAGGAACGGCUUGGAGUCAUGUUUACAUCUAGUUCUACUGAUCCGUUCACAUCUGGAGAGUUUAUUUAUAACUCCCUCUAUAACUCUCUGUUUGGAGGCACUGGUGGCUCUACUGACAGACUGAUGUCUAGGAAAUAUUGCUCUAUGUCUAAUGGUACCUAAAUGUGCUGUGGUUGUAUUUACAGAUUUACGUUUGAGGGAAAUAUAAUUAUUUCCAUUGUAUUUGUGCAUAUACAGUAGUUAUAGGAGCAGAUUUAUAUAUGGGAAAAUAUGCGACUCCCUUACAGCCAUCCGGCUUUAUGUACAUUUGAUAUCCUGACAGAUUUAUAUCUCUGAAGAGCUAUAUAGAUUAAAACGUAUAUUGUUAGAAUUAUGUAUCAGGAGAUAUAUACUUAUUGAUUGCGAAAUAGAGUAGUUAGAGCAUUCACUUAGAGCCAUAUAUGGCUAUGGAGAUAUUUCUAUAUUAUUAUCACUAUAUAUAGGCAUAUCUAUUUAUAACUGCAUAGUUAUAAAAAUAGACAUAA